rnacentral:ncRNA from 2 species
CCCAGUAAACGGCGGCCGUAACUAUAACGGUCCUAAGGUAGCGAAAUUCCUUGUCGGGUAAGUUCCGACCCGCACGAAAGGCGUAAUGAUUUGGGCACUGUCUCAACGAGAGACUCGGUGAAAUUUUAGUACCUGUGAAGAUGCAGGUUACCCGCGACAGGACGGAAAGACCCCAUGGAGCUUUACUGUAGUUUGAUAUUGAGUACCUGUAAGUCAUGUACAGGAUAGGUAGGAGCCAUUGAAAUAGGGACGCUAGUUUCUAUUGAGGCGUUGUUGGGAUACUACCCUUGACUUAUGGUUACUCUAACCCGCUGGCAUAAUCGGCCAGGGAGACAGUGUCUGACGGACAGUUUGACUGGGGCGGUCGCCUCCUAAAGAGUAACGGAGGCGCUCAAAGGUUGGCUCAGAUUGGUUGGAAAUCAAUCGUAGAGUGUAAAGGUAAAAGCCAGCUUGACUGCGAGAGCUACAACUCGAGCAGGUAGGAAACUAGGACUUAGUGAUCCGGUGGUACCGCAUGGAAGGGCCAUCGCUCAACGGAUAAAAGCUACCCUGGGGAUAACAGGCUUAUCUCCCCCAAGAGUUCACAUCGACAACGCAUUUCACCCCUCGAUGUCGGCUCAUCGCAUCCUGGGGCUGUAGUCGGUACCAAGGGUUGGGCUGUUCGCCCAUUAAAGCGGCACGCGAGCUGGGUUCAGAACGUCGUGAGACAGUUCGGUCCCUAUCCGUCGCGGGCGUAGGUAAUUUGAGAGGAUCUGUCCUUAGUACGAGAGGACCGGGAUGGACUUACCGCUGGUGUACCAGUUGUUCCGCCAGGAGCACGGCUGGAUAGCUAUGUAGGGAAGGGAUAAGCGCUGAAAGCAUCUAAGUGCGAAGCCCACCUCAAGAUGAGAUUACCCAUUCGUAAGAAUUAAGAGCCCAGAGAGAUGAUCUGGUAGAUAGGCUGGAAGUGGAAGAGUUGCGAGACUUGGAGCGGACCAGUACUAAUCGCUCGAGGACUUUACCAA